rnacentral:rRNA from 1 species
AGCGAACGCUGGCGGUAUGCUUAACACAUGCAAGUCGAGCGCGAAAGUGACUUCGGUCAUGAGUAGAGCGGCGGACGGGUGAGUAACACGUGGAUAAUCUGCCUUUAGGACUGGGAUAACCCUGGGAAACUAGGGCUAAUACCGGAUAAGACCACAGGUUCCAUGGAACCAGGGGUAAAAGGCGGCCCUCGGGCUGUCGCCGAAAGAUGAGUCCGCGUCCCAUCAGGUAGUUGGUGAGGAACGGCUCACCAAGCCGAAGACGGGUAGCCGACCUUAGCGGGUGAUCGGCCGCACGGGGACUGAGACACGGCCCCGACUCCUACGGGAGGCAGCAGUGGGGAAUCUUGGGCAAUGGGCGCAAGCCUGACCCAGCAAUACCGCGUGAGGGAUGAAGGCC